rnacentral:rRNA from 1 species
AUGAACGCUGGCGGCGUGCUUAACACCUGCCAGUCGAACGGAACUACUCCAAUGAGAGUCUUCGGAAAGGAUUUGGUUUAGUUUAGUGGCGGACGGGUGAGUAACGCGUGGGUAACCUGCCCUAUACAGGGGGAUAACAGUUGGAAACGACUGUUAAUACCGCAUAAGCGCACAGGAGCGCAUGCUCCGGUGUGAAAAACUCCGGUGGUAUAGGAUGGACCCGCGUCUGAUUAGCUGGUUGGCGGGGUAACGGCCCACCAAGGCGACGAUCAGUAGCCGGCCUGAGAGGGUGAACGGCCACAUUGGGACUGAGACACGGCCCAAACUCCUACGGGAGGCAGCAGUGGGGAAUAUUGCACAAUGGGGGAAACCCUGAUGCAGCGACGCCGCGUGAGCGAAGAAGUAUCUCGGUAUGUAAAGCUCUAUCAGCAGGGAAGAAAAUGACGGUACCUGACUAAGAAGCCCCGGCUAACUACGUG